rnacentral:rRNA from 1 species
GACGAACGCUGGCGGCGUGCUUAACACAUGCAAGUCGAACGGAAAGGCCCUGCUUGCAGGGUGCUCGAGUGGCGAACGGGUGAGUAACACGUGGGUGAUCUGCCCCUUACUUUGGGAUAAGCCUGGGAAACUGGGUCUAAUACUGGAUAGGACCAUGCUGUAGGUGGUGUGGUGGAAAGAUUUUUUCGGUAAGGGAUGAGCUCGCGGCCUAUCAGCUUGUUGGUGGGGUAAUGGCCUACCAAGGCGUCGACGGGUAGCCGGCCUGAGAGGGUGGACGGCCACAGUGGGACUGAGAUACGGCCCAGACUCCUACGGGAGGCAGCAGUGGGGAAUAUUGCACAAUGGGCGCAAGCCUGAUGCAGCGACGCCGCGUGGGGGAUGACGGCCUUCGGGUUGUAAACUCCUUUCAGCCAUGACGAAGCCUCUUUUGGGGUGACGGUAGUGGUAGAAGAAGCACCGGCUAACUACGUG